CCUACGGGAGGCAGCAGUGAGGAAUAUUGGUCAAUGGACGAGAGUCUGAACCAGCCAAGUAGCGUGAAGGAUGACUGCCCUAUGGGUUGUAAACUUCUUUUAUAUGGGAAUAAAAUGUUCCACGUGUGGGAUUUUGUAUGUACCAUAUGAAUAAGGAUCAGCUAACUCCGUGCCAGCAGCCGCGGUAAUACGGAGGAUCUGAGCGUUAUCCGGAUUUAUUGGGUUUAAAGGGAGCGUAGGUGGAUUGUUAAGUCAGUUGUGAAAGUUUGCGGCUCAACCGUAAAAUUGCAGUUGAAACUGGCAGUCUUGAGUACAGUAGAGGUGGGCGGAAUUCGUGGUGUAGCGGUGAAAUGCUUAGAUAUCACGAAGAACUCCGAUUGCGAAGGCAGUUCACUGGACUGCAACUGACACUGAGGCUCGAAAGUGUGGGUAUCAAACAGGAUUAGAUACCCGUGUAGUC
rnacentral:rRNA from 1 species